GCAUCCUCUCCCAGCGGCUGAUGCCAACCGAGACUCGGUUCGCAAGGGGUCACCUCACUUUUGGCCCAAAGGGACCUGGCACGGGAAUUUCAACAACAACAACAACAACAACAACAACAAAAAAGGCACCCCGAAGGACUGUGCCACGAAUGUCACACACCAAGUCUGAAGUGACGGAGAGAAUGUGUAAAAAGAUGGUGGGGGGGAAGAGAGGAGGGAAGGGCGGGCGAGAAGUCAACAUCUCAACUCUGGAGAGCUUUGUGAUUGUGAUGGAAAGGGUAGUCCUCAACGUACGACCACAAGGGAGUCCAACAUUUCCGAGAACGAACCGCCGAGCCUCAUCUGCCACCCGAGCGAGAGACAUUUGCCCCCGUCGCAAAAGAUUGUCAGUGCACAUUUUUCGAUCAAGGCACUGCGGUGGAUGUUGCGACAACUGAGUGUGAAGAUCUGUCCGUGAAUAUCCGAGACUCUGUUCCCAGUCUUUUCUUGCACAGCACCUCAUUUGGAAAAUAUUUACAUGGCAGCUUUCCA